CGACUGUCAUUGUAAAUGGAUUAAUCUCACCGAUACAUAUUUCUUAAUUGUUUUAACAUGUUAAACCUGUUAUUGGUUUCACGGCUACCGUAUUUACUCGUUUAAGCGCCGCGGCGCUCUUUAAAUUUUAAUUUAGAGCUUCACAUGCGGCGCUCAUUCGGGGGCGGCGCUCAAUCGGGGGCGGCGCUCUUUAAAAAAUAUUUUAUUUGUGAAUUAUGACAAGAACUUUUAACGAUAAAAUUGACAAGUUUUAAAAGGUUUUUGCCACUAAAUGUCCCAAUUUUGACGCGGAAAGUUUUUACACCGUUUAGUGCGGCGCUCUUUAAAAAAAAUUGAUCUCAAAUGCGGCGCUCAUUCGGGGGCGGCGCUCAAUCGGGGGCGGCGUUCAAUCGAGUAAAUAUGGUAUAUCCACUUAGCUUAUUUGAUUUAUGACUGUAUUGUGACCUCCUACCACAUGUAGCUAAUGAAACAAAAUUACAAUACAAACCAAGGCAAUAAUUUAAAGUGUAUAGGCAGGCAUAAAUAUUGGAAACCACGCUGAGCUAUGUGACCGUCGCUGACCUGAUAAACAAAUAUGGUAACACAGGUCAUAUUUUAUUAAUAAUCUAUAAUGGUGUAAUAUGUACAUGUAAUUAAUGGAAUUGGGAAAUGAUGCAAUUUCCUUCUUCAAAAUUUCCAGUUAUCAACUUUUCAAAAAUGCAUGUGCUGCCUCCGCCCUUUUGUGUUUUAGGUGUUUCCUGGCGACAUGCAUCACAGCGAGCUCCAAACCCAAGACAAAGCCACGACAGGGUAAUU